UACGUAGGGGGCAAGCGUUGUCCGGAAUCAUUGGGCGUAAAGAGCGUGUAGGCGGCCCGGUAAGUCCGCUGUGAAAGUCAAAGGCUCAACCUUUGAAUGCCGAUGGAUACUGUCGGGCUAGAGUCCGGAAGAGGCGAGUGGAAUUCCUGGUGUAGCGGUGGAAUGCGCAGAUAUCAGGAGGAACACCAAUAGCGAAGGCAGCUCGCUGGGACGGUACUGACGCUAAGGCGCGAAAGCGUGGGGAGCGAACAGG
rnacentral:rRNA from 1 species